AGCUGUCUGCAGCUUGCUUCUAAAAACACAGCCGCACGCCAAACCAGAAGCGCAGAAAGAAGAGACGAAUAGACCCAGGGACUCAGUUCUGCCUUCGCACUUUGAGGUGUUUGACUUUGUUCAUAAUGGGCUUUCAGCAGCAGAUGCAGUUAGUGCAAACACUCUAGUGGCUUUAAGUGCAAGAGCAGGACAUUGUCAGCUCUGGUCGCAGCACUGGUGGCAGCAAUACAAACUGUGUGAGUGGGAACAGCAAGUGGGGAGCUGUGCGUGGCUGACAAUUCACCUGGACCUGCUACUUUUUUGUCCAUAUCGUAUCUCCAGGAUUGUUCAAACAAAUGGAAAGCAAGCUGAAAAAGCUCCAAGAGAGAACGAGGGGCACAGGAGCAUAAUUAAAAUGUGACUAUGGGAACAGCUAUUACCACCUGUGGUGGUCUGACCUUGACUUGCUGUCAGACCCUCACCCAGCUGCACUGUUACUGCCCCUUCUCAGCAAGACAGGGGGAGAAAGUAGGAUGGAAAAGCUCAUGGGUCAAGAUGAAGACAGAAAGAUCAUU